AAAUCCAUUAAGUUAUAUCUGAGGUAUGAUAUACAGUCGUAAGAUGAAUGCGCAAAUCCCACGCUGCCAAGAAAAGCUUCUAACGUUAAUAUAUGACUGCCCGUACUGUAAACCGACACAGGUGGUCAGGAUGAGAAAUCUAAGGCGGACAGGCUAACUCUCGUUAAGGAACUCUGCAAAAUAACCUCGUAACUUCGGGAGAAGAGGAGCCCUUGGGUGUUAGUAUCCAUGCGAUACAAAGCGCUCGAGGGUCGCAGUGAAGAGGCUCAAGCAACUGUUUAACAAAAACACAGGUCUAUGCUAAGCUGGAAGGCGAUGUAUAUGGGCUGACACCUGCCCAGUGCUGGAAGGUUAAGAGGAGGAGUGAGAGCUCCGAAUUGAAGCCCCAGUGAACGGCGGCCGUAACUAUAACGGUCCUAAGGUAGCGAAAUUCCUUGUCGGGUAAGUUCCGACCUGCACGAAUGGUGUAAUGAUUUGAGCGCUGUCUUGACGGGAGGCCUGGUGAAAUUGUAUUACCGGUGAAGAUACCGGUUACCUACAGUAGGACGGAAAGACCCCAUGGAGCUUUACUGUAGCUUGGUAUUGGGUUUUGGCAUUGCAUGUAUAGGAUAGUUGGGAGACUGAGAUGAUAUGGCGCUAGCUGUAUCGGAGUCAUCGGUGGAAUACCAACCAUUCAAUGCUGAAAUUCUAAUCUGUGGUUUGUAGCCACGGAGACAGUGCUAGGUGGGCAGUUUGACUGGGGCGGUCGCCUCCGAAAGAGUAACGGAGGCGUUCAAAGGUUCUCUCAGGUUGGAUGGAAAUCAACCAUAGAGUGCAAUGGCAUAAGAGAGCUUGACUGCAAGACUGACGGGUCGAGCAGAUGCGAAAGCAGGACAUAGUGAUCCGGCGAUUCCGAAUGGAAGGGUCGUCGCUCAACGGAUAAAAGCUACCCUGGGGAUAACAGGCUGAUCCUACCCGAGAGUCCAUAUCGACGGUAGGGUUUGGCACCUCGAUGUCGGCUCAUCGCAUCCUGGGGCUGGAGAAGGUCCCAAGGGUUGGGCUGUUCGCCCAUUAAAGCGGUACGUGAGCUGGGUUCAGAACGUCGUGAGACAGUUCGGUCCCUAUCCACUGUAGGCGUUAGAAUAUUGAGAAGACCUGUCCUUAGUACGAGAGGACCGGGAUGGACAAACCUCUGAUGUACCAGUUGUCACGCCAGUGGCACAGCUGGGUAGUCACGUUUGGAAUAGAUAACCGCUGAAAGCAUCUAAGCGGGAAACUAACUUCAAGAUAAGUAUUCUUUAAGAUACCUUCGAGCCUAGGAGGUUGAUAGGUUGGGGGUGUAAGUACAGCAAUGUAUUUAGCUGACCAAUACUAAUUAUCGAAGUUUUAAUCUA
rnacentral:rRNA from 1 species